ensembl:antisense 1700126G02Rik RIKEN cDNA 1700126G02 gene
ACGCACUUCCUCCUACAGGACCAGGCCCAAAAGUGUGCGGCUAGAAAGGAAGCAUUCAACAAAGAGCCUAUGGGGACGAUGCGUAUCCAAACCUUAGCACCAAUCACUUUGUAAUUUAUUUACCGUCACCAUAACAGAAGCGCCAUGAGGUGGCCGUCGGCUUCACACGGAGUCUGAUGAACUCGCUGUAAACAGGUUUGCUUGAACGUUGUAACGAGCUUGUCAUUAUUUGUUUCCAUUCAAGGAAGUCAGCAAAAUUGUAAUGAUCUUACAAAACAUCCACAAGCGUCGCUCGGCUCCUGGAGAACAGCGAGGCCUCUUCUUUACUCGGGCAUUUUUAGUGCUGUGACCUCAGGCUUCAUUUUAAAGUACUGGUUAAAACGGACAACCGCAUACCUAGUGGGGAAAGAACAAGGCAGAGUCAGAGCUGCCCUGAGCUGACUGCACAGAGGCCACACUGCCAGUGUGCAUGCUUCACCUGCUGCUGCUGCCCCUGCUGGACACGCCCCGUGCUGAGCAUGCAAAGGCAACAGAAGCGCCAGGAGACGGCUCAGAGGGUAAGUGAAGUGGCCUCCACCAGUCAAGCCCGGCAAGCUUUAAGUCUCCAGAGUCCACAUGGCAGAAGAAGAGAAAGGAUCCCCCCUAGGUCAUCCUCUGACCCCACCCAUCCUGUGGCAUGAGCAUGCUCACACCUACACAAAAUCAAUAAAUGCGUGUAAACAUUG